rnacentral:rRNA from 1 species
CCUACGGGAGGCAGCAGUGAGGAAUAUUGGGCAAUGGAGGCAACUCUGACCCAGCCAUGCCGCGUGAGUGAAGAAGGUUUUCGGAUUGUAAAGCUCUUUCGGAUGUGACGAUGAUGACGGUAGCAUCUAAAGAAGCCCCGGCUAACUUCGUGCCAGCAGCCGCGGUAAUACGAAGGGGGCAAGCGUUGUUCGGAAUUACUGGGCGUAAAGGGAGUGUAGGCGGUUUAGUAAGAUAGUGGUGAAAUCCCAGGGCUUAACUUUGGAAUUGCCAUUAUAACUAUUAGACUAGAAUUACAGAGAGGAUAGUGGAAUACCCAGUGUAGAGGUGAAAUUCGUAGAUAUUGGGUAGAACACCAGUGGCGAAGGCGACUAUCUGGCUGUACAUUGACGCUGAGGCUCGAAAGCAUGGGGAUCAAACAGGAUUAGAUACCCUUGUAGUC